rnacentral:rRNA from 1 species
CCUACGGGAGGCAGCAGUGGGGAAUAUUGCACAAUGGGGGAAACCCUGAUGCAGCGACGCCGCGUGAGUGAAGAAGUAUUUCGGUACGUAAAGCUCUAUCAGCAGGGAAGAAAAUGACGGUACCUGACUAAGAAGCCCCGGCUAAAUACGUGCCAGCAGCCGCGGUAAUACGUAGGGGGCAAGCGUUAUCCGGAUUUACUGGGUGUAAAGGGAGCGUAGACGGGAGCGCAAGUUUGGAGUGAAAUCCCAUGGCUUAACCAUGGAACUGCUUUGGAAACUGUGCAGUUAGAGUGCAGGAGAGGUAAGCGGAAUUCCUAGUGUAGCGGUGAAAUGCGUUGAUAUUAGGAGGAACACCAGUGGCGAAGGCGGCUUACUGGACUGUAACUGACGUUGAGGCUCGAAAGCGUGGGGAGCAAACAGGAUUAGAUACCCUGGUAGUC